AUUUUUAUUUUUAUUAUAUAUAUAUAUAUAAAAUAAAGUUAGUAUGCUUCUGGAAGCACGGAGACCCGUGCCUUUAAGUCGUUUUCGAUGUUGAAACUUUCGAAUCGACGAUCGGCUCCGUUAGACUUGAUCUAAAGUAUUUGAAAUAUUUAGAAAAUAAAUUUCAUAAUUUUUGGUUAUUAUUUGUCUAGUGAUCGAAGGGUUCUCAUGAAGUUUCAGAAGAAUAUAAGGCUCGAAUUUU
rnacentral:lncRNA from 1 species